UCGAUGCCGACGCCUUGUAAUUUUUUAUUCCGCCCCCGCCGAGGCGCCGCUUCCUGUAGACCACUGCGGAGUGAAGGUGGAGGACCUGCAGGACGCUGAUAAGUCCUUGCCUUUUAAAGCCCGCCACCAAAGACACGCAGCGGGCAAGGAGCGGCACGCGUAUGUGUGUGGGGGUGUGGCCUGCGGGCCUGCAGCGAAGCGGGGUGUGCCAGGACCGGCUUCGAAAUCAGCGACAGGUGUUCAUUCAGCACUGAAGUAACCCAGCUGACCUACACCACAUCAUUUUUUUUAGGAGAAUGGCUCUUUCAGUCAUGGCAAUGCACGAUAUUGCAAGUUUUGGUUCUGAGGAUGAACCGAAGACCCGUGGAGAACUUUCCAGCCGUCAGUCCUUUGUCUGUGAUUUUUGGUCUGAGAGAGCAUCAAACUUACCAAAGGUCUCCCAAAAUAGGGACUGCCAGAUCGUGGUCUUUCUAAAAUUGAGGUGUGCGAGGUCGAACGAGUGUCUGAGUCUCAAAGUUCCUUCUCCCGGGUCUUAAAUAAAGACCGCAAGCGGACACAAAAAGAUGAUCUACCGGGUCCUUUUUUUAAACGCCCAUUGUUGCACGACACGGCCUCGUAAAUGAAUCCCUCGGCCAAUAAAAGCCGCCAUUACCGCCGGAAAGAACAUUGGGAUUCUUUCCGGCGGAGACUUUUAUCGGAACGCCGUGAAGCAGAGGAGAAAGAGUGAUGCAUGGGAAGUCAGUCUGCAGCCGUAAUGGAAACUAUUACAGCUGGGGCAGUAAAUGUCAAGUCCGAGUUAGUGACUUACUCACCGAACAGCCUUAAAAACUGCAUUUUUUUGGGGGGGGUG